GACGAACGCUGGCGGCGUGCUUAACACAUGCAAGUCGAACGGAAAGGCCCUGCUCUUGUGGGGUGCUCGAGUGGCGAACGGGUGAGUAACACGUGAGUAACCUGCCCUUGACUUUGGGAUAACUUCAGGAAACUGGGGCUAAUACCGGAUAGGAGCUCCUGCUGCAUGGUGGGGGUUGGAAAGUUUCGGCGGUUGGGGAUGGACUCGCGGCUUAUCAGCUUGUUGGUGGGGUAGUGGCUUACCAAGGCUUCGACGGGUAGCCGGCCUGAGAGGGUGACCGGCCACAUUGGGACUGAGAUACGGCCCAGACUCCUACGGGAGGCAGCAGUGGGGAAUAUUACACAAUGGGCGGAAGCCUGAUGCAGCAACGCCGCGUGCGGGAUGACGGCCUUCGGGUUGUAAACCGCUUUCGCCUGUGACGAAGCGUGAGUGACGGUAAUGGGUAAAGAAGCACCGGCUAACUACGUG
rnacentral:rRNA from 1 species